AUUUCGCGGAAGUUUUCAGCAAAUCCACCCUCGCUCCCAGCCCUCGCAGGGCGCGAUAACAGCGGAGCCCUCUGAAAGUUUGAGGCACGGAGUCGCUGGAAACUCGAGGAAAACCCGCUCUUUCUUGGAAUGGAAAAGGGGGAAACCAGUAGCAAAGCUCCCCCUUCACCAGGAGCAGCCCAGUUAAUCCAACGAAAAAGAGAGGAGGAGGAAGAGGAGGAGGAGAAAUAGGGAGAAAGAAAAUAAAGAGCAACACCUAAGGAAGAGCAAGAAGUUCCUGCAGGAGCUGGACACUGCCGAGGGGGAAAGAAGCGCUCAAAUCUCAGCGCAAAACCCUCCACCGGUGGAGCCCGGACAGGACCUGCUGAGCCGAGCCCGGUUCCCCCCCCCCGGCUGCCGGGCUCAGGAGCCGCCAACCUCCCCGCUCCGGGGGCUGGAGUAGCCG